GUUUAGCCCUGAUAGUAGCGGCAUCCUUUUUUGUGUUUCUAUAUUUUUGUUAAAUAGACUUAAUUAUGUUAGUAAACUUAACUGUAUUAAAUGUAGAAAAUAUUUAAUACAAAAAAGAUAUAGCGGAUAGCAGGAAUAGCU
rnacentral:sRNA from 1 species